rnacentral:rRNA from 1 species
AUUGAACGCUGGCGGCAGGCCUAACACAUGCAAGUCGAACGGUAGCACAGAGAGCUUGCUCUCGGGUGACGAGUGGCGGACGGGUGAGUAACGUCUGGGAAACUGCCCGAUGGAGGGGGAUAACUACUGGAAACGGUAGCUAAUACCGCAUAACGUCGCAAGACCAAAGUGGGGGACCUUCGGGCCUCACACCAUCGGAUGUGCCCAGAUGGGAUUAGCUAGUAGGUGGGGUAAUGGCUCACCUAGGCGACGAUCCCUAGCUGGUCUGAGAGGAUGACCAGCCACACUGGAACUGAGACACGGUCCAGACUCCUACGGGAGGCAGCAGUGGGGAAUAUUGCACAAUGGACGCAAGCCUGAUGCAGCCAUGCCGCGUGUAGGAAGAAGGCCUUCGGGUUGUAAAGUACUUUCAGCGGGGAGGAAGGCGGUGAAGUUAAUAGCUUCACCGAUUGACGUUACCCGCAGAAGAAGCACCGGCUAACUCCGUGCCAGCCGCCGCAGUAA